rnacentral:rRNA from 1 species
AACGAACGCUGGCGGCAUGCCUAACACAUGCAAGUCGAACGAGACCUUCGGGUCUAGUGGCGCACGGGUGCGUAACGCGUGGGAACCUGCCCUUAGGUUCGGAAUAACUCCCCGAAAGGGGUGCUAAUACCGGAUAAUGUCUUCGGACCAAAGAUUUAUCGCCUUUGGAUGGGCCCGCGUUGGAUUAGCUAGUUGGUAGGGUAAAAGCCUACCAAGGCGACGAUCCAUAGCUGGUCUGAGAGGAUGAUCAGCCACACUGGGACUGAGACACGGCCCAGACUCGUACGGGAGGCAGCAGUGGGGAAUAUUGGACAAGGGGAGACAGCCUGAGCCAGCAAUGCCGCGUGAGUGAUGAAGGCCUUAGGGUUGUAAAGCUCUUUUACCCGGGAUGAUAAUGACAGUACCGGGAGAAUAAGCUCCGGCUAACUCCGUG